rnacentral:rRNA from 1 species
AGGAAGAAGAUCUGACGGUACUUGAGGAAUAAGCCACGGCUAAUUCCGUGCCAGCAGCCGCGGUAAUACGGGAGAGGCAAGCGUUAUCCGGAAUCAUUGGGCGUAAAGCGUCCGCAGGCGGCCUUGCAAGUCUGUCGUUAAAGCGUGGAGCUUAACUCCAUUUAAGCGAUGGAAACUACAAGGCUAGAGUGUGGUAGGGGCAGAGGGAAUUCCCGGUGUAGCGGUGAAAUGCGUAGAUAUCGGGAAGAACACCAG